CGGAGGGAGGCUAGCGUUAUUCGGAAUUACUGGGCGUAAAGCGCACGUAGGCGGCUUUGCAAGUUAGAGGUGAAAGCCUGGAGCUCAACUCCAGAACUGCCUUUAAAACUGCAUCGCUUGAAUCCAGGAGAGGUGAGUGGAAUUCCGAGUGUAGAGGUGAAAUUCGUAGAUAUUCGGAGGAACACCAGUGGCGAAGGCGG
rnacentral:rRNA from 1 species